AAGUCACUUAUGAGGUUGGUUUUGUUUUGGAUGGUAUAAUUGUAUGCUUGUUUGUUGGCUUUAUUCUAUUUGCUUCUGCAUUUUAUGAUUGCAUUGAAUUGCUUUAAAGCAAUUUUCUGUUGAAUACUCUAGAGGAUAUAUGUUUAGUUUAAGUAAUUUUCCUGUGUGUGGAUUCAGAAUAAGAUAUUUUAAGGUUUGAAAUUAAAAGUGAAGUUGUAUAGGACUUGUAGAUUUGCGAGUCUUCAAACCCUAGAGCUGUUUUUUGGUUUAAAUUUCAAACUAGGAAGCUGAAAUGGCCACAAAUUGGGUGUUUAAGUAAGUGUUGAAAAUAGGUCUGGAAAUAUGUGAAAAAUUUAUGCUCUGAAGUUUGGUGCUACAGAACUGCAAAUGAGGUUAUCCAUAUAACCAGCGUUUUGAAGGACUUAGGUUUAGAUUUAUGGGAGAACUGGAGUGCAAGGUUAGGAAAUUGAAUUAGAGUUUAUUAGAAUGAGAAAAGAAAAUAAAUUGGAGGCCUGUUCAUGGCUGUUAACAUAACUUCAGUGCUGUAGAAGGAGCAGUUUUGGAAGAAAGGAAGAAGAAGAUGAAGAAAAGAGGAGAUACAGCAGGUACUAAGCUUUUCAAAUCAAAGACUUAUAGUUCCAUUAAUCAACGCCUAAGAAAAUGGCUAGUUAUGUGAGUAUUUAUAGGGGCUUGAUAAUUAACUCUACCACCAGGAUUAGCAAGCCCAAACUUAGAAGAUUCUAACUCAAUACUAAAUAUUAAUAAGUAGCGAACAAUUUUCUGAAAAUUGUGCAGAUACAAAUGGCUAAAUUUCUAAAUUAGUGCUAAACCUUAAGGCAUUGUUUAGUUAUAGAAAAUAGUGCAUCUUUUCUAGAAAAUUGGUUCCAAGAAAACAGGAAUAUGAGGUUUUGUGUGUUGCAAAAAUUCCAAAAUGGAGCAUUAUAAAUUAAUUUUUCAAGUUUUUGGUAGCCUUUGGAAAACUGAUUGGAGUUUUUUUCUGCUUGAUUCCUUUGACAAAGUGAUCUUUUUUUAUUCAAAUGGAAAACACAAAGUUCCCCACUGCGCCAAGGUUGUUGGUAUUACAAUGUUAAGUUCAAAUCUCAACAGACACAUUUUUCUUUCUGUUUCAACAAUAUGUUUUGCAUGCUUUAUGUAUGUUUGUGUGUGUUAUCAUUUGUUUCAAAUUAAGUUGCUAGACUAAUAGUGGCUGAAG
rnacentral:misc_RNA from 1 species